CUUUUGUGCGGGAAGAUAAUGACGGUACCGCAAGAAUAAGCCCCGGCUAACUUCGUGCCAGCAGCCGCGGUAAUACGUUAUUUGGCUAUUGCGUUGCUCGAUGAAUUACUGGGCGUAAAGGGUGCGUAGGCGAAGGUCUUUAAGUAUCAGGGGUGAAAUCCUGGAGCUCAACUCCAGAACUGCCUUUGAUACUGAUUGAUCUUGAGUUCGGGAGAGGAAUGAGUGGAACUGCGAGUGUAGAGGUGAAAUUCGUAGAUAUUCGCAAGAACACCAGUGGCGUUAAGGCGGCUCUGACUGGCCCGAUACUGACGCUGAGGCACGAAUGGAGCGUGGGGACAAGCAAACAGGAUUAGAUACCCUGGUAGUCCAUACGCCGUAAACGAUGAAUGCCAAAGCCGUUAGUGAGGGUUUACUCACUAGUGGUUUCAGCUAACGCUUUAAGCAUUCCGCCUGGGGAGUACGGUCGCAAGAUUAAAUUACUCAAAGGAUUAUUGACGGGGCCGCCCGCACAAGUUUUGGAGCCCAUAUGUGGU
rnacentral:rRNA from 1 species